ACACAAAUAAUAUAAAUAGCACAUCAAAAUUUUUAAUUUAUUUAUUUACAGGGUCCUCAUCGUGCUUGGCGUGGAUUCUGGGACAUUCCUAUGUUCACUGGGGUGCCUUGCGAGCCGACGUGCGGAGAAAUGGAAGGCAAUUGGGGUUCCAGC